rnacentral:lncRNA from 1 species
GUACAUGGUCAUUAAGUGUUUGUCCUAUGUUGGUAACUGGUCUCCCAUAGUUGUUCCUAGUUCACUUCAACCCCACGAUCCUAAGCACACCUGUACCUGCCCUGGAAUCCCUCAGCCAUGUUUGUCCCACAGAGCAUCACUAUCAAACAGUUCACUGUGGACUCCUCGUAGCAGAAGUACAGUAGGGGACAGCAAGUGUCAGCUCCAUCAGGUGUGUGCAAUCUUGUGUAACCUACUUUGUAGCUUUCCAUCAGGCUUUAGGGACAGACAGGCACCCAUCAUGAGACAGGGCUUGACAAUCUCAGCCGGGCGUGGUGGCUCACGCCUUUAAUCCCAGCACUCCGGAGGCAGAGGCAGGCGAUUUCUGAGUUCGAGGCCAGCCUGGUCUACAAAGUGAGUUCCAGGACAGCCAGGGCUAUACAGAGAAACCCUGUCUCGAAAAACCAAAAACCAAAAAAUAAAAAAUAAAAAAAGAAGCCAGUCUCUAACCAGUGGCCCUCAGAUAUAAACAAUGCAGGCCAUUGGUUCUACAAGAAAAGAGCUGCUGAUGAAGUAAUCAUGACUUAUAAAUCCAUGAGCAGCUUCACCAACUCACGACAGUGUUUUUGAGGAAUAGGCAGCCAUACCUGGGUGUCUGAUGCCUGUUGGUGGCCCUGUCUGAGUCAACACUUUUGGCAACGCCUGGGUAAAGUCUGAGGUCAUUUGCUCAGUGAGAGACUGACACUACUUUUUUAUAGAAAUUAUCUUUGUGUAGAAGUCUGAAAAACUUAGCCAACUUGCCCCUGGGCUUUUUGGCUCAGUGGUAUGUAAUCUUUUAUUUCAAGAGUAUUAGUAUAUAAAUAGGAAAUAGGUACAUAAAAUAAUGAAGACACAUUGAUUUGUGCAAUAGGUAGUGCAAGAAGCCAAAGAUAACUCAUGCUAUUGCCUACUAAAAAGCAAGUGUGCUUGUUAAUUCCAAGUAACAUAGGAUAGAGUCUGCAACCCUCUUUCAUAUUGAGUAUAUUAGUAGCUGUACUUAAUAGAGUUGCUUGGGUGUUUGUUGGUCAUUAAGAAAAGCAAAGUGCACAAGCUAGCCAUGUGUUAACUAUCCACCUGCUUGACAGAUGGUUGUAAAUGCUGUAAGACUUACUCUUGGACAUUCACCACAUUGAAAAUCAGAACUUUGAUAUUAACUCUAAACUUUAUUAUUACAUAGUUCUGCUUGACCCACUAAAUUCUAAAUCUUCUCUUCCCUCUUGUGCUGAAUGUAGGACCCCUGAUUUAAUUAUUUACUGUGGAACCAUUGUCCUGAGUCAGGAGGAUAGAUGAGGAAAGAAUGAGAGCGUGGCUGGCAUCGCUUCAUGAUUACAUUCUGGGAAAGAUCUUGCCUGUUAACCUCUAGAGAAGGAGGGACGAUACAGACAAUGAAGACUAUAGCAGACUGAAUUACUCUCUGAGAUGAGGACUUUGCUAUUGCCAUUGCAGGUAAGAUGUUUUAUGACUCCAUAAUCAGCAAAGAAUCCUGUCAGUAAGGUCUGAUUUCUUCGCAGUGUUCAUUGGAUCUUUUAAGUCUACAAACCAAUGAUACAAAUGCAAUAUGAAACAAUUGCUAGGAAGCUAAUUGGCAUAUUUUACUCACAGCCCAUUUUAUUUUCGCACAGCAGUGUACUUAAGUUUUCUACUUAAUAAUCUCAGUCUGCAUGUCCAAUAUGGCUGCCACCAUACACACAUGGCUGCUUAUAUAUAAAGUAAUUACUGUGAAGUGAAUUGUAAAAUUCAAUUUCUCUGUUGCAGUGCUCACACUGCAAGUUCUCAGUAGCUACCUGAGCCUUUGGGGCACUGUGUUAGGAUCAGGUUUCUAUUAUUCUGCAAAGAGCUAUUGGACAGCUCUUCACAGAGAAGGCUGCACACAGGAAGAGGGAAGAGAGACAGAUGUGACUGCUUUGAGGCAGGCAUGCGAAUUGAUCCAUCCAUGGUUCACUGAAGGCCCCUGGAAAGAGAAUCAGGAAGAGAACUCAGCAAUGAGAAAAGAAAGAAACUGUAAGGAGACCCCAGUCCCAAGCACAAGUUCUUCUCACUUCAUGAAUAUUUAUCCUAUUGCCCCCAGGGAGGCUAUGAAUGGGUCAAUAAACAAAACUGUCCCUGAAAGAAAAAGACAGAGGUCAAAGGUGGCUCAUGUGGAUCACUGAUGAGUACCCUGGGGUGUCUGAAUGGAGGGCUUUGACUAAGCCCUGUCACUCAGGAGGUCCAUCGUGAAAAAUCCCAUUUAUUAUCUCUUUCGGAUAUGAGCUUAGUCUGGCUAUCUAAAAUAACAUGGGCUGUAUUCUUGGGCUUCUGUGCACUAAAGCAGUGUAUGAAUCAACCAAGAACCCUAUAAAUGAACACUAACAAAA